GCUGAAAUUGCUUAGUUGGGAGAGCGUUGGACUGACUAUCUAAAGGUCCCUGGUUCAAUCCCAGUUUUCAGCA